rnacentral:rRNA from 1 species
GACAGAGGUGCCAAGCGUUAGGCGGAAUCACUGGGCUUAAAGCGUGUGUAGGCGGAUCGUUAAGUGCCUUGUGAAAUCCCCAGGCUUAACCUGGGAACUGCGUCGGAUACUGGAUGGCUUGAAUCCGGGAGAGGGAUGCAGAAUUCCAGGUGUAGCGGUGAAAUGCGUAGAUAUCUGGAGGAAUACCGGUGGCGAAGGCGGCAUCCUGGACCGGCAUUGACGCUGAACGGCGAAAGGCUAGGGGAGCGAA